AUUGAACGCUGGCGGCAGGCCUAACACAUGCAAGUCGAGCGAGCGGCGGACGGGUGCGUAAUGUAUGGGGACUGCCCGAUAGCGGGGGAUAACUACUGGAAACGGUAGCUCAUACCGCAUACUAUCGGAUAACCCAUAUGGGAUGAGCUAGUAGGUGAGGUAAUGGCUCACCUAGGCGACGCUCCCUAGCUGGUCUGAGAGGAUGAUCAGCCACACUGGGACUGAGACACGGCCCAGACUCCUACGGAGGCAGCAGUGGGGAAUAUUGCACAAUGGGCGCAAGCCUGAUGCAGCCAUGCCGCGUGUGUGAAGAAGGCCCUAGGGUUGUAAAGUACUUUCAGUCGGGAGGCGUUACCGACAGAAGAAGCACCGGCUAACUCCGUGCCAGCAGCCGCGGUAAUUC
rnacentral:rRNA from 1 species